UUUUAUUAUAGCUGAAUUAAUAUGAGGUUUCUUUUACAAAGUAGUCAUGCCACUGUUUUUUGCAGCUCUGCCCAUUCACUCCCUCUGCACUUUCUGCUGUUCUCAGUCAAAGUUUGGCAACAUGAAGGGAGACACAUCACCGGUCUGACAACAAAUACUAUCUUCAAGUUUAAAGCAGGAGAAGGAGAAGGAGGGAGGCCCUAGAUGGGGAGCCCACAGCCAAUGGAUGGAAGUCCCAGAGAACCAGAGCCGACGGGCAGCUGACUCUGUAGAGGCCGGCCGCCCUGGUGUGAGCCGAGAUCAGGCUCCCUGGGAUCUAGGCGCCCAACAAAGACCCG
ensembl:lncRNA